UACAGAGGUCCCGAGCGUUUGUUCGGAUUCACUGGGCGUAAAGGGUGCGUAGGUGGUUGGGUAAGUUUGAUGUGAAAGCUCAGGGCUUAACCCUGAAAUGGCAUUGAAUACUACUUAACUGGAGGUUUGGAGGGGGGGACUGGAAUUCCCCGGUGUAGUGGUGGAAUGCGUAGAUAUCGGGAGGAACACCAGUGGCGAAGGCGGUUGCCUGGAGCUUUGCUGACGCUGGAGGCGCGAAAGCGUGGGGAGCGAUCCGG
rnacentral:rRNA from 1 species